AGAGAGCACUGAAAGGGCUAGGGGGCCUACCAGCCUACCAAACCUUAUCAAACUCCGAAUGCCAGCAAGUGUUAUCUCGGGAGGCAGUCUACGAGUGAUAAGAUUCGUGGACGAGAGGGAAAGAGCCCAGAUCGCCAGCUAAGGUCCCCAAAUCUAUGCUAAGUGGAGAACGAUGUGGGAGCGCUUAGACAACCAGGAGGUUGGCUUAGAAGCAGCCAUCCUUCAAAGAAAGCGUAACAGCUCACUGGUCUAGCGAACCUGCGCGGAAAAUAUAACGGGGCUCAAGCAUAGUACCGAAGCUGCGGGUUCUCGAAAGAGAGCGGUAGGGGAGCAUCGAAGUUGCCUGCGAAGGUCGACCGCGAGGACGGCUGGAGGCCCUUCGAGAGAGUAUGCGGACAUGAGUAGCGAUAAAACGAGUGAGAAACUCGUUCGCCGAAAACCCAAGGUUUCCUGGGCAAGGUUCAUCCUCCCAGGGUUAGUCGGAUCUUAAGUCGAGGCCUCACGGCGUAGGCGAUGGGAAGCAGGUUAAUAUUCCUGCACUACGACAUCAGCGAAGAAGCCAGCGGGGACGGAGAAGGCUAGACGAGCCGAGAGCUGGAAUACUCGGUUCAAACACGUAGGGGUCACUUAUACGAUCAAAAGGUAGGUGAGCUAUCCCCGAGAUGUGAUGAGAGUCUACGGCUUCGGCCACGGACGAACUCGUCAAUGCCAAGCUUCCGAGAAAAGCCGCGGGUGGAGCUGUUGUGGUAUCCGUACCGGAAACCGACACAGGUGGGUGGGUGGAGAACACCAAGGCGCUUGAGAGAACUCUGGUCAAGGAACUCUGCAUAUUGCCACCGUAACUUCGGGAUAAGGUGGGCCUGCUUUCGUGAAGCGUCUUGCACGUGGAGCGAAAACGGGUCGCAGCAAAGCGGGGGUAGCGACUGUUUACCAAAAACACAGGCUUCUGCUAAGUCGAAAGACGACGUAUAGGAGCUGACUCCUGCCCGGUGCCGGAAGGUUAAGGGGACUGCUCAGCGCAAGCGAAGGCAUGAACCGAAGCCCCGGUAAACGGCGGCCGUAACAAUAACGGUCCUAAGGUAGCGAAAUUCCUUGGCGGGUAAGUUCCGUCCUGCACGAAUGGAGUAACGACUUCCCCACUGUCUCGACCAGAGACUCAGCGAAAUUGAACUCGCGGUGAAGAUACCGCGUUCCCGCGGAGGGACGGAAAGACCCCAUGAACCUUCACUGCAACUUGGCCCUGACACUCGGGAUUUAUUGCGUAGGAUAGGUGGGAGGCUUUGAACUUGGGAUUCUGGUUCCGAGGGAGCCAACCUUGAAAUACCACCCUGUAAAUUCUGGGUGUCUAACCUAGACCCGUUAUCCGGGUCAGGAACACGGUCUGGUGGGCAGUUUGACUGGGGCGGUCGCCUCCCAAAAAGUAACGGAGGCGCGCGAAGGUCCCCUCAGCCUGAUUGGAAACCU
rnacentral:rRNA from 1 species